UACGUAGGGUGCGAGCGUUGUCCGGAAUUAUUGGGCGUAAAGAGCUCGUAGGCGGUCUGUCGCGUCGAAUGUGAAAACCCGGGGCUCAACCCCUGGCUUGCGGUCGAUACGGGCAGGCUAGAGUUCGGUAGGGGAGACUGGAAUUCCUGGUGUAGCGGUGAAAUGCGCAGAUAUCAGGAGGAACACCGGUGGCGAAGGCGGGUCUCUGGGCCGAUACUGACGCUGAGGAGCGAAAGCGUGGGGAGCGAACAGG
rnacentral:rRNA from 1 species